GACGAACGCUGGCGGCGUGCCUAAUACAUGCAAGUAGAACGCACAGUUUAUACCGUAGCUUGCUCCACCAUAGACUGUGAGUUGCGAACGGGUGAGUAACGCGUAGGUAACCUGCCUGGUAGCGGGGGAUAACUAUUGGAAACGAUAGCUAAUACCGCAUAAUAUUAAUUAUUGCAUGAUAAUUAAUUGAAAGGUGCAAUUGCACCACUACCAGAUGGACCUGCGUUGUAUUAGCUAGUAGGUGAGGUAACGGCUCACCUAGGCGACGAUACAUAGCCGACCUGAGAGGGUGAUCGGCCACACUGGGACUGAGACACGGCCCAGACUCCUACGGGAGGCAGCAGUAGGGAAUCUUCGGCAAUAGACGAAAGUCUGACCGAGCAACGCCGCGUGAGUGAAGAAGGGUGUCGGAUCGUAAAGCUCUGUUGUAAGAGAAGAACGGGUGUGAGAGUGGAAAGUUCACACUGUGACGGUAUCUGACCAGAAAGGGACGGCUAACUACGUG
rnacentral:rRNA from 1 species